rnacentral:rRNA from 1 species
AGAGUUUGAUCAUGGCUCAGGACGAACGCUUGCGGCGUGCCUAAGAAAUGCAAGUCGGACGGGUGGCGCUUCGGUGUCACCAGUGGCGAACGGUCGCGUAACACGUAAGCAACCUGCCCUAAGGUGGGGGAUAACGGCCCGAAAGGGCCGCUAAUACCGCAUGGGGUCCGUGGGGGGCAUCCCCCUCGGUCUAAAGAUUCAUCGCCUUAGGAUGGGCUUGCGGCCUAUCAGGUAGUCGGUGGGGUGACGGCCUACCGAGCCUUUGACGGGUAGCUGGUCUGAGAGGACGAUCAGCCGGAUUGGGACUGAGAUACGGCCCAGACUCCUACGGGGGGCAGCAAUUAGGAAUCUUGCGCAAUGGGGGCAACCCUGACGCAGCGACGCCGCGUGCGGGACGAAGGCAUUCGUGUCGUAAACCGCUUUUUUGGGGGAAGAAGGAUGUGACGGUACCCCAAGAAUAAGCCCCGGCUAACUACGUGCCAGCAGCCGCGGUAAUACGUAGGGGGCGAGCGUUGUCCGAAGUUACUGGGCGUAAAGCGCGCGUAGGCGGUCCCUUAAGUCCGGGGUGAAAGGUUCAGCGCUCAACGCGAACAGGGCCUUGGAGACUGGGGGACUCGAGUGUGGGAGGGGGCAGUGGAAUUCCGGGUGUAGCGGUGAAAUGCGUAGAUAUCCGGAGGAACACCGAUGGCGAAGGCAGCUGCCUGGUCUGACACUGUCGCUGAGGUGCGAAAGCGUGGGGAGCGAACGGGAUUAGAUACCCCGGUAGUCCACGCCGUAAACGAUGAGUGCUAUGUGUCCGGGGUAUCGACCCCCCGGGUGCCCGCCGCCAAC